rnacentral:rRNA from 1 species
UAGGGAAUCUUCCACAAUGGACGCAAGUCUGAUGGAGCAACGCCGCGUGAGUGAAGAAGGUCUUCGGAUCGUAAAGCUCUGUUGUUGGUGAAGAAGGAUAGAGGCAGUAACUGGUCUUUAUUUGACGGUAAUCAACCAGAAAGUCACGGCUAACUACGUGCCAGCAGCCGCGGUAAUACGUAGGUGGCAAGCGUUGUCCGGAUUUAUUGGGCGUAAAGCGAGCGCAGGCGGAAUGAUAAGUCUGAUGUGAAAGCCCACGGCUCAACCGUGGAACUGCAUCGGAAACUGUCGUUCUUGAGUGCAGAAGAGGAGAGUGGAACUCCAUGUGUAGCGGUGGAAUGCGUAGAUAUAUGGAAGAACACCAGUGGCGAAGGCGGCUCUCUGGUCUGCAACUGACGCUGAGGCUCGAAAGCAUGGGUAGCGAACAGGAUUAGAUACCCUGGUAGUCCAUGCCGCAAACGAUGAAUACUAAGUGUUGGAGGGUUUCCGCCCUUCAGUGCUGCAGCUAACGCAUUAAGUAUUCCGCCUGGGGAGUACGACCGCAAGGUUGAAAC